AUGUGUUGCUGGAAAAGUGCAGCAGGUCAGGCAGCAUCCAAGGAGCAGGAGAAUUGACGUUUCGGGCAUGAGUCCUGCUUCAGGAAUCUUCAGUAUUCAUAGCCCAACAAU